rnacentral:rRNA from 1 species
UACGUAGGGUGCAAGCGUUGUCCGGAAUUAUUGGGCGUAAAGAGCUCGUAGGCGGUUUGUCGCGUCUGCUGUGAAAACUCGAGGCUCAACUUCGAGCUGUCGGUGGAAACUAUUUGGCUAGAGUCCGGAAGAGGAGAGUGGAAUUCCUGGUGUAGCGGUGAAAUGCGCAGAUAUCAGGAAGAACACCCGUGGCGAAGGCGGCUCUCUGGUACGGAACUGACGCUGAGACGCGAAAGCGUGGGGAGCGAACAGG